GCAGCAUAUAGAGGUUCCCAGGACAGGGGUCUAAUCGGAGCUAUAGCUGCCGGCCUAUGCCAGAGCCACAGUAAUGCCAGAUCCUGGCUGUGUCUGCAACCUAUACCACUACUCAUGGCAACACCGGAUCCUUAACCCACUGAGCAAGGCCAGGGAUUGAACCCACGUCCUCCUGGAUGCUAAUCAGGUUCUUCGUUAACGACUGAGCCACAAUGGGAACUCAUAUUCUCUACUUUUUAGAAUGGCAUUUAGGUUAGCAUGAAAGCUGAAAUGAUUUUGGAGGAUUUUAGCCUAAUGCCAACUAUAAGUUUAAUAAUUAUGCCUUCAGAGUAUUGUUGCAUCUGUCUGAAGAAACCUUUUACGCAAAAAUUGAAGCAUCAAGAGAAAACAGAACUGGGAUUUCACUGAGGAUACCAAGAAGAUUGUAUUCUGUUUGGUAAUACUUUUGGCCAAUAAAUUGUUUAUUUUUGUGCUCCUUGCUAAUACUUUUGUCCAAUAAAUGUUUAUUGUACAGGCAAAAUAAAUAAAUGAACAAACAAACUUGGAUUCUUACAGUCCUUAUAGUUCAGUAGUAAAUCACUACAACUGACCAUAGCCAGGAAGUGGUGAAUGCCACAGAAGAGGCAGGCAAUCAAUCUACCCAACCUAAUGACAGGGUCACAGCUUUCUCUUCAUUCUUCAGAAAAAUCAACAAUGUUUUUUUGUAAAACAGCUUUAUUGAGAUAUAAUUAACAUACAAUAAGUGGCACAUAUGUAAAGUCUGCAGUCAGAUAAGUUUUGAUAUACAUGUGUGAAGCCAUAAACAUAAUCAAGAUAAUGAAUGACCUAUCAUUCCCCCAAAUUUGCUUGUGCCUCAUUUGACUCCUGCUUCUCCUUGUCCCUAUCCCAUCCCCAGGCAACCACCGAUCUACUUUCUGUAACUAUUAAUUAAUUUGCAAAUUCUAGAUAAUUAUAAAUGGAAUCAUACAAUAUGUACUCUUGUUUUACCUGGUUUCUUUCCUUCUGCAUAAUUGAAAUUCAUAUAUAGUUGCAUGUAUCAAUACUUAAUUCCUUUUUAUUGUAGAGUAGUAUUCCUUUUUGGGAUAUAUCACAAUUGAUUUAUCGAUUCACAUGUUGUUAGACAUUUGGUUGUUUCCAUUUUUUAAGUUGCUACACAUUCAUGUAGNUUAGGGCUAUACCUGAGGCAUAUGGAGGUUCCCAGGCUAGGGGUCAAAUCAGAGCUGUAGGAGUUCCUAUUGCGGCCCAGGAUCGAACCUAUAUCCUCAUGGAUCCUAAUCAGGUUUGUUAACUGCUGAGCCAUGAAGGGAACUCCUCAUGUAGAAGUCUUUUUAAGGAUAUACAUUUCAUUCCUUUUGGGUAAAUACCUAGGAGUAGAAUGGCUGGUCAUAUAAGGUAUAUGAUUAACUUUAUGAGAAUCUGCUAGACCUUUCUCUAAGUGUUUAUACUAUUUUACAUUCCCACAGGCAACCUAUUAAGAGUCUCAGUUCCUCCACACCCUUUCUAAGACUACUUGAUAUAGUCAUCCUACUGUAUGUGUGUGUGUGUGUGUGUAUAUAUAUAUAUAUAUGUCUCACUGUCAUUUUAAUUUGCAUUUAAUUCAUAUAUAUCACUGUCGUUUUAAUUUGCAUUUAAUUCGCACCCCCUAAUGAUUAAAGAUGCUGACUAUCUUUUCAUGGCACAGCAAUUUUAAGGUGUAAUAUAAUGCUUUUAUUUGUUGAUUGAGAAGAAGGAAUAUGUCCCUACAAUGUGCUUCAGUGUUAGAAACUUUGCUGUUACCUAAAUCAAAGAAUAGUUAUGGUAAGAAAAUAUCAUUAACUAUUGAUUUAAAUGACAUUAAAAAUCCAGAAUAUAUAAAAUAUGCACACUGGUGCAAAUUUGAGUUUAAAAAAAAGAAACUAUGGAAUACUAAGAUUUCAAUUGCUACCUCAGAAUUUCUUUCACUCACCAAGCACUUAUGGACCCACUUCUGUUUCCUGAAUUGCACUGAGAAAAAGUAUUAUCUGUUUCUUUUUCUUCCUUGGCUCUUCUCCUUUUGAAACUCUAUCAUGAAUAGUUUUAAACAAAUUGGUUAAAAUCAUCUACUAUCUACCCUGAAAAGGCAUUGCAGUUUUAUUUUUUAAAAGGGGUCCUAAACCCCUAAUAAACAGAUAUUUUGUGACAACACUGAUUUAUAAAAUAGAGGAAGUUUCUUCUGUACACUAUAGACUUCUCCUUAAAGGAACAUCAUGGAAACAUUUUUGGCUAAAGUUUGCCCAUUCCAGUUUCUUGAGGAAGUUAAGUACUGUAUUGUCAGCAGCAAGAAAUAUGCUGUCAAUUUCAGCUGUCUACUCCAGGGGGAAGGUCAUAUAAUACCAACAUUUGAUCUUCUUAUAAUCAAUUUGAUUUAAUAAAAAAUCAUUGUGUGUACUGUGUGAGGUGCCCCAUGUAAGACUUGAGUCUACUGAGUACAUACUAUGUAUGAGGUUUUACUUACAAACACCUUAUAUGUGUUAUUGCCAAUCUUUACAAUAGUCUUUUUAUAAGCGAUAAACUGAGCUCAGUCUGAUAGAAUAAUUUGGCCAAGUCACAUGGUUCCAUGAUUCAGUAACUUGGCUAAGUUUCCAUGGCAGACAGAGUUCAGGUGAAAUCCUAGGUUUAACAUAUUCCAAAUCCUUUGUUCUUUUCACUGAGCCAAGCUAGUCCCAAGAUACGACCAAAUGCUUUGUAAAUGAUUAAACAAUGUAGGCUCUGUGAUCUAUACUAUAAUUUUUGCCACAAACCUCAUUUGAAUGUAUG
rnacentral:lncRNA from 1 species